rnacentral:rRNA from 1 species
GAUGAACGCUGGCGGCGUGCCUAAUACAUGCAAGUCGAGCGAACAGAUGAGGAGCUUGCUCCUCUGACGUUAGCGGCGGACGGGUGAGUAACACGUGGAUAACCUACCCAUAAGACUGGGAUAACUUCGGGAAACCGGAGCUAAUACCGGAUAAUAUAUUGAACCGCAUGGUUCAAUAGUGAAAGACGGUUUUGCUGUCACUUAUAGAUGGAUCCGCGCCGCAUUAGCUAGUUGGUAAGGUAACGGCUUACCAAGGCAACGAUGCGUAGCCGACCUGAGAGGGUGAUCGGCCACACUGGAACUGAGACACGGUCCAGACUCCUACGGGAGGCAGCAGUAGGGAAUCUUCCGCAAUGGGCGAAAGCUUGACGGAGCAACGCCGCGUGAGUGAUGAAGGUCUUCGGAUCGUAAAACUCUGUUAUUAGGGAAGAACAAAUGUGUAAGUAACUAUGCACGUCUUGACGGUACCUAAUCAGAAAGCCACGGCUAACUACGUG